AGUAGGGAAUCUUCCGCAAUGGACGAAAGUCUGACGGAGCAACGCCGCGUGAGCGAUGAAGGCCUUCGGGUCGUAAAGCUCUGUUGUUAGGGAAGAACAAGUGCUAGUUGAAUAAGCUGGCACCUUGACGGUACCUAACCAGAAAGCCACGGCUAACUACGUGCCAGCAGCCGCGGUAAUACGUAGGUGGCAAGCGUUGUCCGGAAUUAUUGGGCGUAAAGCGCGCGCAGGCGGUUUCUUAAGUCUGAUGUGAAAGCCCCCGGCUCAACCGGGGAGGGUCAUUGGAAACUGGGAAACUUGAGUGCAGAAGAGGAAAGUGGAAUUCCAAGUGUAGCGGUGAAAUGCGUAGAGAUUUGGAGGAACACCAGUGGCGAAGGCGACUUUCUGGUCUGUAACUGACGCUGAGGCGCGAAAGCGUGGGGAGCAAACAGGAUUAGAUACCCUGGUAGUCCACGCUGUAAACGAUGAGUGCUAAGUGUUAGAGGGUUUCCGCCCUUUAGUGCUGAAGUUAACGCA
rnacentral:rRNA from 1 species